AUAAAAGUCGCCACAUUUCCCACAGUUCAUUGAAGAUUUAGUAUGUAGCAAGGCAUAUCUAUACAAGGUAGUAUCAUUAGAAGAGCUAAUUAAUUCGCCUUGAGCGAAUUGGCAUUUCUGUCAAAAAUUUGUGCCAAGGCGAAUUUGCUUUGUUUACAUAUUUCUUUGUUUCUACAUUGUUACUCAAAGUAUUUGUAGCAGUUAUAUUGAAACACAAAAAAUAAAGAUUAACCGUACAUAAUAUCAUAGUAUUAUUGCAUUGUUGAAUGCAAAUAUGGUGAAAUGUGUAUUGUGCGCAAAGGGAUGAUCUCGGUAUGGUAGACGCUUAUGCUGCAGAAGGCGAUGUGCUUGUUUUCCUAUACUAAAAUAUGAACAGCAGGCUGAGCCUCUUGUCCAGUGAAGGUUAUGGAUUUCAUUAGUCCCAAUACGUUUGAAUAAAACGCAAGUCCUUUGGUGUGUAGUGGCUUCAAUUGGGGGGUUACAUUACAAAUGAAUAAACGGAA